CAAGAGUAAUAUAUAACCAUCCAAUCAUCUAUAUCAUCUCAAAAAAUUUCCAUCCGCAAAUUCUGUAAGAUGUAAUUAUUAAUACAGAAAGAUGGAACUAUCUUCGCUAGUUUUUCACGGUGCGUGGAUUAUAUUCAUAUGUGUAGAUAUACACACCCAUCUAUAACUAUAUAUCGCUACAUAUUUAUAUCUAAUUAUACUUACAUAUUAGUAUGUUUAUAUGUGCAUUUAUAUAUCUGCAAUCUAAUACAAUCCCGGAAAAAAGAUAAACAAAAUUCGAUUCAUAAAAAGUAAAAUGAACGAAAGAUGGAUAUGGAAAAAGAUCGAUAGUGGAAAUCAAAAAGAUAAAAAGGAUUCAAAAGAAGAAGAAAAAAAUAAAAACAAAAGAAAAUUUCCCGUAACUUCAGUAUCGAUCCAAAAUUAUUGAUAAUUUUGUGAUGGGAUUACCGGAGAAGACAUACUCGUCAAGAUGAGAAAAAUAGUGGCGAAACUAAACAGCGUGUGCUCGAUUCAAUCUCAGUAAUUUAGAAGAGGAUUCAAGCUAUUUGACGAGAGUUUGACAAACUUAUCUUGAAUCAAGACACCAACAUGACCAGUGCUAAAAAG